rnacentral:tRNA from 1 species
GCUGUGGCUCAAUGGCAGAGUAGCCGCUUGGCAUGCAGAAGGUCCCAGGCUCAAUCCCCGGCAUCUGCA